rnacentral:rRNA from 1 species
CGAAUACCGGAGAAUGUUAUCACGGGAGACACACGGCGGGUGCUAACGUCCGUCGUGAAGAGGGAAACAACCCAGACCGCCAGCUAAGGUCCCAAAGUCAUGGUUAAGUGGGAAACGAUGUGGGAAGGCCCAGACAGCCAGGAUGUUGGCUUAGAAGCAGCCAUCAUUUAAAGAAAGCGUAAUAGCUCACUGGUCGAGUCGGCCUGCGCGGAAGAUGUAACGGGGCUAAACCAUGCACCGAAGCUGCGGCAGCGACGCUUAUGCGUUGUUGGGUAGGGGAGCGUUCUGUAAGCCUGUGAAGGUGUGCUGUGAGGCAUGCUGGAGGUAUCAGAAGUGCGAAUGCUGACAUAAGUAACGAUAAAGCGGGUGAAAAGCCCGCUCGCCGGAAGACCAAGGGUUCCUGUCCAACGUUAAUCGGGGCAGGGUGAGUCGACCCCUAAGGCGAGGCCGAAAGGCGUAGUCGAUGGGAAACAGGUUAAUAUUCCUGUACUUGGUGUUACUGCGAAGGGGGGACGGAGAAGGCUAUGUUGGCCGGGCGACGGUUGUCCCGGUUUAAGCGUGUAGGCUGGUUUUCCAGGCAAAUCCGGAAAAUCAAGGCUGAGGCGUGAUGACGAGGCACUACGGUGCUGAAGCAACAAAUGCCCUGCUUCCAGGAAAAGCCUCUAAGCAUCAGGUAACAUCAAAUCGUACCCCAAACCGACACAGGUGGUCAGGUAGAGAAUACCAAGGCGCUUGAGAGAACUCGGGUGAAGGAACUAGGCAAAAUGGUGCCGUAACUUCGGGAGAAGGCACGCUGAUAUGUAGGUGAAGUCCCUCGCGGAUGGAGCUGAAAUCAGUCGAAGAUACCAGCUGGCUGCAACUGUUUAUUAAAAACACAGCACUGUGCAAACACGAAAGUGGACGUAUACGGUGUGACGCCUGCCCGGUGCCGGAAGGUUAAUUGAUGGGGUUAGCGCAAGCGAAGCUCUUGAUCGAAGCCCCGGUAAACGGCGGCCGUAACUAUAACGGUCCUAAGGUAGCGAAAUUCCUUGUCGGGUAAGUUCCGACCUGCACGAAUGGCGUAAUGAUGGCCAGGCUGUCUCCACCCGAGACUCAGUGAAAUUGAACUCGCUGUGAAGAUGCAGUGUACCCGCGGCAAGACGGAAAGACCCCGUGAACCUUUACUAUAGCUUGACACUGAACAUUGAGCCUUGAUGUGUA